CCUACGGGCGGCAGCAGUGGGGAAUAUUGGGCAAUGGGCGCAAGCCUGACCCAGCAACGCCGCGUGAAGGAAGAAGGCUUUCGGGUUGUAAACUUCUUUUGACAGGGAAGAGUAGAAGACGGUACCUGUCGAAUAAGCCACGGCUAACUACGUGCCAGUAGCCGCGGUAAUACGUAGGUGGCAAGCGUUGUCCGGAUUUACUGGGUGUAAAGGGCGUGUAGCCGGGUUGACAAGUCAGAUGUGAAAUCCUGCGGCUUAACCGGAGAACUGCAUUUGAAACUGUUGAUCUUGAGUACUGGAGAGGCAGACGGAAUUCCUAGUGUAGCGGUGAAAUGCGUAGAUAUUAGGAGGAACACCAGUGGCGAAGGCAGUCUGCUGGACAGCAACUGACGGUGAGGCGCGAAAGCGUGGGGAGCAAACAGGAUUAGAUACCCGUGUAGUC
rnacentral:rRNA from 1 species